CUAGUAACGGCGAGUGAAGCGGCAACAGCUCAAAUUUGAAAUCUGGCCCCCGGGUCCGAGUUGUAAUUUGUAGAGGAUGCUUUUGGUGCGGUACCUUCCGAGUUCUCUGGAACGAGACGCCAUAGAGGGUGAGAGCCCCGUCUGGUUGGACGCCAAACCUUUGUAAAGCUCCUUCGACGAGUCGAGUAGUUUGGGAAUGCUGCUCUAAAUGGGAGGUAUAUGUCUUCUAAAGCUAAAUAUUGGCCAGAGACCGAUAGCGCACAAGUAGAGUGAUCGAAAGAUGAAAAGCACUUUGAAAAGAGAGUUAAAAAGUACGUGAAAUUGUUGAAAGGGAAGCGCUCAUGACCAGACUUGGGCCCGGUUGAUCAUCCAGGGUUCUCCCUGGUGCACUCUUCCGGCCCAGGCCAGCAUCAGUUCGCUGUGGGGGAUAAAGGCUUCGGGAAUGUGGCUCCCUCGGGAGUGUUAUAGCCCGUCGUGUAAUACCCUGCGGCGGACUGAGGUUCGCGCAUUCGCAAGGAU
rnacentral:rRNA from 1 species